rnacentral:rRNA from 1 species
UACGUAGGGGGCUAGCGUUGUCCGGAAUCAUUGGGCGUAAAGCGCGUGUAGGCGGUCCGGUAAGUCCGCUGUGAAAGUCGGGGGCUCAACCCUCGGAUGCCGGUGGAUACUGUCGGGCUUGAGUACGGAAGAGGCGAGUGGAAUUCCUGGUGUAGCGGUGAAAUCGCGCAGAUAUCAAGGAAGAACACCCGUGGCGAAGGCGGCUCCUCUGGGACGGUACUGACGCUGAGACGCGAAAGCGUGGGGAGCGAACAGG